CUCAUUCAUCAAUCAGGAUAGAUCAACUCUAGGGCAGCAGCAAAGUCGAGUGGAUGACCAUGCUGUAGUCUUAGAAAUCUGCUCUGUUCCAGAGAGGGAGAAUUGGACAAUUGACAGAGCAGAUGGCAAGAUGCGAUGUGAGACAGUAAAUGGUUUGCAUGUGUAAUUAAAAAAUAGCAAAGAUGAAAAGAUGUUGAAAUUCUUGUCUUUGUCAGUGACAAGUGUUUCUCAAACACCUACUAUUCAUACUAGACCUUAGCAGCAAAUAGGGCAGAAGCCCCUGAGUGUGGAAAGAUUAAGUAUAUGUCUCUGCUGAUACGGAAUUUACAAUCUGAUUGGAAGACAAGGCAUGCAGGUAUCAGAAAGAAAAGAAGUAGCAGGUGCUACAUACCAGGGGACUCCCACUGAAGAAACUCGUUCCACCAAUGCAAGUCAUCUCCUCCUCUGCAACUUGGAGUCUUAGAUGCUGAUAACAUUUGGAGAUGAAAGGGCUGCUGACGAGGCCACCUUACCAUUCACUAUUACAUACCUUAUGUUGGGACAAAGUGAGGCACUCACCGAGGUGCUCAACAUUCAAGAAAGAGAUUUACUUUGCUCCAUUGCAUCAAGAGUAUAAAACAAGGACACAGCUUCUCUAAGUUGUUUUGGAAUCAUAGAGAUACACCCUGUCAUUUCUCCUUUUGCUUGACCAAGACAUCUGAAUCAGUUUUGCAAGUUAGGCUAAGUAGCUGAA